rnacentral:rRNA from 1 species
GAGAGUUUGAUCCUGGCUCAGGAUGAACGCUAGCUACAGGCUUAACACAUGCAAGUCGAGGGGCAGCAUGGUCUUAGCUUGCUAAGGCCGAUGGCGACCGGCGCACGGGUGAGUAACGCGUAUCCAACCUGCCUUACACUCUUGGACAGCCUUCUGAAAGGGAGAUUAAUACAAGAUGUUAUCAUGAGUAAGCAUUUUCGCAUGAUUAAAGGUUUACCGGUGUAAGAUGGGGAUGCGUUCCAUUAGAUAGUAGGCGGGGUAACGGCCCACCUAGUCUUCGAUGGAUAGGGGUUCUGAGAGGAAGGUCCCCCACAUUGGAACUGAGACACGGUCCAAACUCCUACGGGAGGCAGCAGUGAGGAAUAUUGGUCAAUGGACGAGAGUCUGAACCAGCCAAGUAGCGUGAAGGAUGAAGGUUCUAUGGAUUGUAAACUUCUUUUAUACGGGAAUAAACGGAUCCACGUGUGGAUUUUUGCGUGUACCGUAUGAAUAAGGAUCGGCUAACUCCGUGCCAGCAGCCGCGGUAAUACGGAGGAUCCGAGCGUUAUCCGGAUUUAUUGGGUUUAAAGGGAGCGUAGAUGGGUUGUUAAGUCAGUUGUGAAAGUUUGCGGCUCAACCGUAAAAUUGCAAUUGAUACUGGCAGUCUUGAGUACAGUUGAGGUAGGCGGAAUUCGUGGUGUAGCGGUGAAAUGCUUAGAUAUCACGAAGAGCUCCGAUUGCGAAGGCAGCUUACUAACCUGUAACUGACAUUGAUGCUCGAAAGUGUGGGUAUCAAACAGGAUUAGAUACCCUGGUAGUCCACACGGUAAACGAUGAAUACUCGCUGUAGGCGAUAUACAGUCUGCGGCCAAGCGAAAGCAUUAAGUAUUCCACCUGGGGAGUACGCCGGCGACGGUGAAACUCAAAGGAAUUGACGGGGGCCCGCACAAGCGGAGGAACAUGUGGUUUAAUUCGAUGAUACGCGAGGAACCUUACCCGGGCUUAAAUUGCAACCGAAUAUGGCGGAAACGCUAUAGCUAGCAAUAGCGGUUGUGAAGGUGCUGCAUGGUUGUCGUCAGCUCGUGCCGUGAGGUGUCGGCUUAAGUGCCAUAACGAGCGCAACCCUUGCCGAUAGUUACUAACAGGUCAUGCUGAGGACUCUGUCGGGACUGCCAUCGUAAGAUGUGAGGAAGGUGGGGAUGACGUCAAAUCAGCACGGCCCUUACGUCCGGGGCUACACACGUGUUACAAUGGGGGGUACAGAGGGCUGCUACCACGCAAGUGGAUGCCAAUCCCAAAAACCUCUCUCAGUUCGGAUUGAAGUCUGCAACCCGACUUCAUGAAGCUGGAUUCGCUAGUAAUCGCGCAUCAGCCACGGCGCGGUGAAUACGUUCCCGGGCCUUGUACACACCGCCCGUCAAGCCAUGGGAGCCGGGGGUACCUGAAGUGCGUAACCGCAAGGAGCGCCCUAGGGUAAAAUUGGUGACUGGGGCUAAGUCGUAACAAGGUAGCCG